CUUUGUUUCUCUGUGGAGCCGGAGUAACGCACGACUUUGGAUUGUUUUCUAUCUUCACUGUGCAUGAUAACCAGGAGAUCGUUAGCCGCGGUACAGCAGACAGAGAGAGGUCUCCACCCCUGUAGUGUGAUCACGAUUGAGUUGAGUGGAACAAUGAACCUCCGGAUAUCUAUGUACAUUUACACGUGUAGGAUUAAACUUCUGUUGUACUCGCGCAUGCGAGCUUAUCCUA